UAGGGAAUCUUCGGCAAUGGACGGAAGUCUGACCGAGCAACGCCGCGUGAGUGAAGAAGGUUUUCGGAUCGUAAAGCUCUGUUGUAAGAGAAGAACGAGUGUGAGAGUGGAAAGUUCACACUGUGACGGUAUCUUACCAGAAAGGGACGGCUAACUACGUGCCAGCAGCCGCGGUAAUACGUAGGUCCCGAGCGUUAUCCGGAUUUAUUGGGCGUAAAGCGAGCGCAGGCGGUUAGAUAAGUCUGAAGUUAAAGGCUGUGGCUUAACCAUAGUACGCUUUGGAAACUGUUUAACUUGAGUGCAGAAGGGGAGAGUGGAAUUCCAUGUGUAGCGGUGAAAUGCGUAGAUAUAUGGAGGAACACCGGUGGCGAAAGCGGCUCUCUGGUCUGUAACUGACGCUGAGGCUCGAAAGCGUGGGGAGCAAACAGGAUUUGAUACCCUGGUAGUCCACGCCGUAAACGAUGAGUGCUAGGUGUUGGGUCCUUUCCGGGACUCAGUGCCGCAGCUAACGCAUUAAGCACUCCGCCUGGGGAGUACGACCGCAAGGUUG
rnacentral:rRNA from 1 species